rnacentral:tRNA from 2 species
CCCUUUAGCCAGCGGUCAUAGCGAGCGGCUCAUAACCGCCAGGUCGCUGGUUUAAAUCCAGCAAGGGCCA